AUUGAACGCUGGCGGCAGGCUUAACACAUGCAAGUCGAGCGAGCGGCGGACGGGUGAGUAAUGUCUGGGAAACUGCCUGAUGGAGGGGGAUAACUACUGGAAACGGUAGCUAAUACCGCAUACCAUCAGAUGUGCCCAGAUGGGAUUAGCUAGUAGGUGGGGUAAUGGCUCACCUAGGCGACGAUCCCUAGCUGGUCUGAGAGGAUGACCAGCCACACGGGAACGGGGAAACGGUCCAGCCUCCUACGGGAGGCAGAAGUGGGGAAUAUGGCAAAAGGGGCGCAAGCAUGAUGCAGCCAGGCGGCGUGUGUGAAGAAGGCCUUCGGGUUGUAAAGAACGUUCAGCGAGGAGGCGUUACUCGCAGAAGAAGCACCGGCUAACUCCGUGCCAGCAGCCGCGGUAAUUC
rnacentral:rRNA from 1 species